rnacentral:lncRNA from 1 species
GUAAAAACUGGAAGUAAGUACAUAAGAUGGUUGGUUGGCAGUGCCUGUGAAUUCAUCAAGCUAAAAGGAUUGAUCAACUGGACUAUAGGAUUAAUAAAUGUAGUUCUCAUUGAAUCCCUAUUCAAAAACCUAUCCAGGAUUCAUCCAAAGUUAGCAGUGACAAAGGAGCUGUAUGGCAUUGAGAGUGAAAUCUUGAGUUUUCCAUGUAUUCUCAAUCCUGGGAGAUUAGCCAGCAUUAUCAAUCAGAGCAGAAGAAUAAUGAGAAUGCUCAGCUCAAAAAAAGUACAGAUACCUUGUAGGACAUCCAGAAGGACCUAAAAGACCCAUGACUUAUGAUUAACCCUGAGCUUUUAAUUUCUUUUUGAGAGAGAGAGAGAAUAUUUUAAUAUUUAUUUUUUAGUUUUCGGCAGACACAACAUCUUUCUUUGUAUGUGGUGCUGAGGAUUGAACCCAGGCCGCACGCAUGCCAGGCGAGCGCGCUACCGCUUGAGCCACAUCCCCAGCCCAAAGCCUUUAGUUUUUAUCCAUGUACAUGGGUCAUAGUUUCCCUCUUCCUUAAUAUGUGAUGUGGAAAAUUCCUGCAAUUAGUCUUUACACAAAAUUAUCUCUUGGGUACUUCUUUUUUUUCAAUUUUUUUUGCAUUAAUUGGUUACACACAAUAGUAGAAUGUGUUUAUGCACUUUGAUAUAAUUUAUCAUUUUUCUGAGUGUACAUGUUGUAGAAUCAUAUUGGUCAUGCAGUCACACAUAUACAUAAAGUAUUAAUAAUAAUAAUAAUAAUAAUAAUAAUAAUAAUAAUAAUAAUAAUAAUGUCUGUUUCAUUCUAUCACCUUUCCUAUCCCCACAUUCUCUCCCCUCCCUUCCCUUCCCUCUACCUAAUCUAAGGUAACACUAUUCAGCUCUAGUGCCCCCCCCCCCCUGCUUAUUGUGAGUUAGCAUCUGCAUAUUAGAGAAAACAUUUGGUGUUUGGUUUUUUGGGAUCUUCGGUGCUUCUUAAAAAAAUUAAAAGUAGAAUUAUAAUAAGUAAAGGAUUUCAUAAUUAUUUACUUAAAAUUUUCCAAGAAGAAUACUCACAACCAGAUACUCAAAACCAGAUAAAAUGUAAGAACUAUUUAAAGAAACAAUAAUACCAAUACUUAAUAAUUUAUUUCAGAAACCAAAGGAAGAGGGGGAAACACUUCUGUUGAGAGCCACAGCCAAAGGGGCCCCAGCAAACUUCCAGCUGCCAGCAAACUUCCAGCUGCUGGCUGAUGAUUGGCUCACAGCGGCCCCAGCAACAUCUAGCUGAUUGGCUCCUCGGCCCCAGCAACAUCUAGCUGAUUGGCUCCUCGGCCCCAGCAACAUCUAGC